rnacentral:lncRNA from 1 species
GGGAUUCCCGGGCAGAGGUCAGAGAGAGAGGCAGGAGCACAGGGUCUGGGCUUGCGCGUCUCCUGCUUUCUUAUGCGGGAGACAUCUGCUUCCCUCACGGGCAUCCCAUUGCCCUUCCACACCAAGUGCCUUCCCCUGGGCUCCUGUUCCUCUCCCCUCCUCUCAUUCCUUGCGGCUUCUGGGUGGUAACAGCAGCAAAUGGUGCCACACGGUUGCCCAAGGACUGUGAAGGUGGCUAGUUGCAAAGGUGUAGGUUAGGUGGUGGGAACCAGAAUGGGGCUUACCAGGUGAUUGCAACCCCGUGGGAAGCAACCUCUGUGUAAAACCCCGUGGCCUUUUUUGUUGUUGUUUUUCUUUUGAUACAGAGUCUCGCUCUGUCGGCCAGGCUGGAGUGCAUUAUCCAGAGCUGUUGGACAAAUCCAGAGCUGUUAUUGUACCUUCAGGUCAUGUGGAAUGGAAGAUGCUAUGGAAGCUGAUUGGAACUGUGAGGAACUGAAAUCAUCUCCACCUGGAGCAAUUAAACAUGGACCUUGGAAGCCUUGCCUUUGAGAGGCCCAGGGCAACCUGUCCUACCUACCAGCUGCCCCAUCAGGGGGUAAUCCACUGAUCACCUCCCUCUGUUGGCACAGCAAUCCUGACACCUACAUCUGUGGGGCAACCUUCCCUAUCACCUGCACCUUUUGGAAUUUUGACUCCACCGUGGAGCCUAAGUGAAGCAUGGAGUCUGGGAAAACAAAGCAGAAGCCACUUAUUUGAAGAAAGAGAAAAUCCCACCCAUCCUUUCACCGUGAACCUGGAGUCCCACGGCUAGCUGCUUAGCUGGCUGCACUGUCGCGUUAAAUAGUUUCCCUGGAAGAGAAAUUGUCCUCUUAGAUUUUCAUUCGUUUUGUUGUUUCCUGUGGAUUUUGGGGAGAGGAGGAGCAUCUCCCCUGCACAGCUGCAAACUCAGGUUAGCUGGGUUAUACUCCUGUGCCGGAGCUUGCAGCAGGUGAUCAGGCCUGUGUACAUGAGGCUGUGGAGAGGCAGGGUGGGUACUGGGGCCAGGGGACUUCCAGGAAAUAAAGCUCCUACCUGAAAUGAUAAACAGAGGAAUAUAGUUUAGCCAAUUAGAGAGAAAUUAUUUCUAAAAACUCAAUAAAAUGUAGUUUAACCUUUCUCUCAUUUUCUGGUUUAUUCAUUUGAAUUUUAACUCUU